rnacentral:rRNA from 1 species
AGUGAACGCUGGCGGUAGGCCUAACACAUGCAAGUCGAACGGCAGCACAGUAAGAGCUUGCUCUUACGGGUGGCGAGUGGCGGACGGGCGAGGAAUACAUCGGAAUCUACUUUUUCGUGGGGGAUAACGUAGGGAAACUUACGCUAAUACCGCAUACGACCUACGGGUGAAAGCAUGGGAUCUUCGGACCUUGCGCGAUUGAAUGAGCCGAUGUCGGAUUAGCUAGUUGGCGGGGUAAAGGCCCACCAAGGCGACGAUCCGUAGCUGGUCUGAGAGGAUGAUCAGCCACACUGGAACUGAGACACGGUCCAGACUCCUACGGGAGGCAGCAGUGGGGAAUAUUGGACAAUGGGCGCAAGCCUGAUCCAGCCAUACCGCGUGGGUGAAGAAGGCCUUCGGGUUGUAAAGCCCUUUUGUUGGGAAAGAAAAGCAGCAGGUUAAUACCCCGCUGUUCUGACGGUACCCAAAGAAUAAGCACCGGCGAACUUCGU